rnacentral:sRNA from 1 species
GGAAGGAUCAUUACCGAAUUGUCAACAUGAAGUUGUUGCUGGCCCUCAAAUGGGGGCAUGUGCACACUCUGUUUACACAUCCACUCACACCUGUGCACUCUCUGUAGUACUGUGGUCUGGGGGUUCUGUCCUCCUACUGUGGUUCUGCGUAUUUAUACACACACACUGUAAUAAAGUUUCAUGGAAUGUAUGCCGCGUUUAACGCAAUGAAAUACAACUUUCAGCAACGGAUCUCUUGGCUCUCGCAUCGAUGAAGAACGCAGCGAAAUGCGAUAAGUAAUGUGAAUUGCAGAAUUCAGUGAAUCAUCGAAUCUUUGAACGCACCUUGCGCCCUUUGGCUAUUCCGAAGGGCAUGCCUGUUUGAGUAUCAUGAACACCUCAACUCUCAUGGCUUGCCACGAUGAGCUUGGACUUGGGGGGUUUUGCUGGCCUACGGUCAGCUCCCCUCAAAUGCAUUAGCUUUCCAGCAUUUGGUGGCAUCACAGGUGUGAUAAACAUCUACACGUGUGGUUCCCCACCAUGUAACCUUCAGUGAUGGAGGUUCACUGGAGCUCACAAAUGUCUUUCCUCAGUGAAGACAGUUCUUUGAUUGUUUGAUCUCAAAUCAGGUAGGACUACCCGCUGAACUUAAGCAUAUCAAUAA